UCUCGGAAGGCUUGUUAUUUCACAUAAAUUUCCCCGUAGGUGUGGCCGUAAAGGCUGCUGGGUGUUUACGUGAUUAACAUACCACGCCCGAAGUGAAGAUCCUUGGAUAUGGCUGAAGGAAAGCUUUCCGAGCCUCCUUUAUCCCAGGGGGCUCUGCGACCGAGGGAGUGAAGUCCGAGGCGUUGUGGGGACUAGACGAGAGGCGAAGGGAGCCGCAGAGGGGUAUUGUCAAGGGCACCGCUGUCCUCCCAGUCUCUCUGGACUCUUCAUUGUCUUUCACCUUCCCCUCAUCCAAGCUGCUAUCAAGGCUUCGACUUCACAUUUGCCACAUCUCUCCAAUAUGCCUCCUUUUUUUCUCUGACUGACUGCCUAGUUAAUUGCUGCAAUGGCUGCUGAUGUUUCUGCCUGCCUCAGAUCUCUCUCCACUCCAAUCCAUCGUCCAUUCAGCACCAGUGAUUUUUCCCCAAGUGGAGGUCUACCAUUAUGUCACUCCCCUACUCAAUAAAAUCCAGUAACUCCA